AAUGAGAUUCAACAAAGCAAAGUGCAAGGUUUUGUGCUUCAGUGACCUACUUGCAGGUGUAUUUGCAGGAGGCAGCUGAGUGAAGAUGCCAAAAGCUGCUGCAAGAUUUCGACUUUAUGGAUGACAAAGAUCAUGUGAGCCAGGCAGAGGUGAGGGAGCUGCCCGCAGGCUCCUCUCUCAUAGCUCCUGGCUGUGGGUGCCCCACAGCCCAGGGAUGCAUACAGCACAGCUCUACAAAGACCUGCAAGUCAUGGUAGCUGCUCACUGGUCACUGACUGCACUGUGUCGUGGUCUUCUGUUCAGCAUCAUCACAGAUGAGGAAAUAGUUUUACAUCAAAUAAGCUGACUGAGUUAGACCAUAAGAAGGAAAGAUGUGCUAGCCUGUUUUAUCUUUUUGACGAAAAAAUAAAACAACUGCCUUGCUGUCCUUUUUUUCAUUAAUAUAUGUAUUGAAAGAUUUUACUUUUCAAAUAAUUUAAUUGUACGUACAUAAACAUAAAAAUGCUACUAGUGAACAAAAUGUCAAAAGAAGUAUUUUCCCCAUGCAUACAAAAAUUCAGAGCCAUUUCUUGAAUUCAAAGCCACGUGAGAACCAAUAAAAGAUAUCUGGAAGGCAGCAAAUGCAAUUACUUCUUAACAUCCCUUCCUCUGGCUCCAAAUGUCAAAGAUACAUAGAGACAAAUGUUUAAAUUAACUGAGAAAUAUUUUCACUUGUUCUGAAAUAUUAACUUUUAGACCUUUACUCGUUCUCUUAUUAUAUUAUUAUCUUAUUUGUUUGGAAGAUCUGGAAAAGACAUUUUUACAAUCAAAACUUUCAGAUCUUAAGUAAUAUAUUCUAGGCAGGAGCUGUCACUAUGUAUUAGCCUGACUAUGAUAGUGUUAUUCAACUAGUGAUCUGAAGCGUGAUAUUAUUCAACUGCUUUCCUAUUAGUGAAUUUAAUUGUGCUCAAAGUCAUGAGGCAGUUGGGUAAUUCAGACACUUUGAUAAUGCUGUAAAAUAAUUCAUAUUUUAUUCAGUUUUUAUGAGAUCACUUGUCUUUUAUAGCUGAUAAAAACUUGGGAUUUCUUUUUUUUGCAAGAACUCUUGAUAUUAAAAAACAGGACAAAUAUAUAUUUUCAAGAUUGAGAAGUAAAAUUUUUAUAAUUUCUUGAAGAGUAAAAGCAUGCAAAUUAUGUACAAAUUAAUAAAACUGUAUAUAUUCUGC
ensembl:lncRNA